GCGGCUGUGGCUCAGGUGGUAGAGUAGGCUGUCUGUUAAUCGUAGGGUUGGUGGUUCGAUCCCCGGCCCACAUGCU